UGGGUUCUAAUAUUUUUCUUUUUCUUUCUUGCUACAGGUUCUAAGGUUAGGGUUCUUCAAGAUAUUUCUUUUCUUCUUUGCAGCUUCUACCCGAACCAAGAACAACCCAAACAACCCACAAAGCUUCUACCCGAAACUAUGUCUAGAAAACUUACUCACUCAAAACCGAACCCCAAAAAACCCUCUCACCAUCUUUUUGGCCGAAACACAACAAACCCGAAAAUAGCAAGAACACUCAACAUACACACAAAUACAAAUACCAGAAAAGUAAUAAGAGUGAGAUGAGAGAAUGCAAACAGUGAUUAAGAAGAUGACACCAAAACUUUGAUCUCGGAGUUCGCCCAAAACAACCGGCUACUUCUCCGUCAAGCCCUCAGCUUGAUUCCACUAAUCAUCAAACAAAGGAGGAGCUCACAUGGAGAUGACAACUCUUAGCCAAAAGGCUCUCAUUUUCUCUGUUGUUGAAUCUAUUGUUCUCUCUGGCUGUGACUAUUUACUUUUGUUGUAUCUCUUAUUUUGCUCUGUAUGUUAUUGCUUGUUGUAUCUGAGAAAAGCACCUCCUUUAUAUACUGUUCUGUGAUCUGAUCUAGGGCAGAGCCCUAGUGAUAUUUGUAACUGUUUUUAUAACUGCUUCAGUUGUAACUGUCUUUGUAACUGUCUUUA